rnacentral:rRNA from 1 species
AUUGAACGCUGGCGGUAGGCUUAACACAUGCAAGUCGAACGGUAGCAGCUCUAGCUUGCUAGAGGCUGACGAGUGGCGGACGGGUGAGUAACGCGUAGGAAUCUACCUAAUAGUGGGGGACAACCUGGUGAAAACCAGGCUAAUACCGCAUACGCCCUACGGGGAAAGCGGGGAGUCUUCGGACCUCGCGCUAUUAGAUGAGCCUGCGUUAGAUUAGCUAGUUGGUGGGGUAAAGGCUCACCAAGGCGACGAUCUAUAGCUGGUCUGAGAGGAUGAUCAGCCACACUGGGACUGAGACACGGCCCAGACUCCUACGGGAGGCAGCAGUGGGGAAUAUUGCGCAAUGGGCGAAAGCCUGACGCAGCCAUACCGCGUGUGUGAAGAAGGGUUUAGGCUCGUAAAGCACUUUAAGUAGGGAGGAAGGCCUAAAGUUUAAUACGCUUUAGGAUUGACGUUACCUACAGAAUAAGCACCGGCUAACUCCGUGCCAGCAG